rnacentral:lncRNA from 1 species
UAGUCACCUUAGUCGGGCGGCCAUUCUCAUCAGCUCCUAGGCAUUGCAAAAUUCUAACACUACGAUUGUAAAAACUGGCUUCUGCAACAUUGGUUGUGGGGAGAAAUGGUCAUGACUCAGCCUACACCAUCUCCCGAAAUCCUAGUUCCAUGGCUCUUACCUCGUGGUAGAUAGCAACUUAUUGGUGUACAGUGGAUAAUAUAGACAGACUUUGAUUGAUCCAAUCUCUACCAAGCAACGCUCCAUAAGUAGAGCUACUAUUCACCACAAAGAAAGCUAACAUAAUUUGCUUAAACCCCAAGUCAACCUCUAAAGGCAAUAUCCCAUAGGUUCUAGUGAUAGCUCCAGAAAAACUGGAGACUAUAAGGUCAGUAGGGAUAAGGUCAUCCUCACUUCUACACAAUUUGUUCAUUUGUUUGAUUGGGAGCACAUUCACCGCUUGAUAGGAGCAUAUUUAUGCAACUUAGUUAGCUUGUUUCUUGGCAUUUAUGUUGUUAGUUCGUAGUUAUUUUAGUAUUUUAAGCUAUUUUCGUGUGUUUGUAGGUCCAAAGGGUUAAUGUGGCAAAGAAGUGCAUUUUGGAGCAUUUUGGAGUAUUUUUGGGCAUGGAAUGGAUAGCAUAUGCUUGGAGCA